UCCACAUAUGCAUGUGUACAUGCACCCACUCCCUCACAUGCACCAACACACACACACACACACAGAGUGUUUAACAUCAAAACAUCCCAAGCCUUUCCAGGAAAUCUGAAUUUCAAAUGCUCACAUCAAGAUGGCUCUCUGAUCAACACCCGCUACCCCAUCUACCGACCCCCUCCCCGCAUCCGGAUCCUUCCUAGGGAGCAGGAUGCAGAAAUAGCCACUGUUGUACUGAUCAACCUGUGCCAGCAGGCAUGCUCAUGUCUUUAUCCUCAUGGAAUCAUAUCUGUUUUACCCAUGAGGCAACCAGGGCUCACUGUUUCACUUAAUAGCCAAGGUUAGACCACUGCUUGUGCUGGGCAUGGGACAGAAUCUGACUCUCAGGCUCAUGAUCUUGGAACUACCCCAGCUAUUUUCAAGCUGUUCGGAAGCUGCCUCCAGGCAGGACCCAGGUGGCUGGGGUUUCCUGUUUCCACACACUGGAGCUAAAAUAGCCACACAUAUGUCUGUUUUGGGUGUUGGGGUUUCGGGAGUUAAAAAUACGUUCGAGAAGCGUGCAUUGUGUUGUGCUAGCCUGCUCCUGCUUUGGACUUUCUACAAACCAAAAAAAAAAAAAAAAAAAAAAAAAAAAAAAUCCUUUUUCUGGUCGCCAUCCAUCUCCUCCACCCCAGGCCCCAGCGGAAAGGAGCCCUUCUAAGAGGACUGUGAGAGGGGACCCGUCGCCAGCUCGCUCGCCAUGUUUAGGGCUCCUUAAGCUGCCUUGCUCCUGCUCUUCACCUGCAUCUCAGGGCCCACCCCACCCCACCUCUGCUCUGUGUGGGGUGAGGAAGGCAGGUUUCUGCAAGGGCUGGGAAAUUGAAGUCUGUCUGGAGAUAAGAGAGCCAACCCUGGGUUCUCAGAAGCAAGGAGUUAGCGCUCAAUGUGGACACUGAGAGACUGAAAUACUGGAAGAGUGCCUGGGAAGAUGGCUCCGUCCAGAGGCCCUGAAUUCAGAUCCUGGUUCCCACAUAAGGAGCUGGGGCAGCCCAUCUGUCAUCCCGGGCUGCAGGCAAGAGAAGAGUUCUCGGGACUUGCUGGCCAGUCUGCAGAAUCUGCGUGCUCCAGGACAGUGAAAGACAGUUUUGAGGGCCGGCAGGAUGGUUCAAUGGGUAAAGGCACCUGCUGCCAAGCCUGAGGACCUGAGUUCGAUGACCGGAACUGAC